AUUGAACGCUAGCGGGAUGCCUUACACAUGCAAGUCGAACGGAGUGGCGGACGGGUGAGUAAUGUAUCGGAACGUGCCCAGUAGCGGGGGAUAACUACGCGAAAGGGUAGCUAAUACCGCAUACUAUUGGCGCGGCCGAUAUCUGAUUAGGUAGUGGGUGGGGUAACGGCUUACCAAGGCGACGAUCCGUAGCUGGGUUGAGAGGACGAGCAGCCACACUGGGACUUAGACACGGUCCAGACUCCGACGGGAGGCAGCAGUGGGGAAUUUUGGACAAUGGGGGAAAGCCUGAUCCAGCCAGCCCGCGUGUGAGAUGAAGGCCUUCGGGUUGUAAAGCACUUUUGGCAGGGAAGCGGUACCUGCAGAAUAAGCACCGGCUAACUACGUGCCAGCAGCCGGGGUAAUUC
rnacentral:rRNA from 1 species